CCAAAAUUACAAUGAAAAUGCGAAAUAAUUCUAAAUUUUCGUAUAUUUUAAGGGCGUAACUAUGAUUUUCUCAUAAAGGCAUUUGAAAUUGUGCAUCUGUUAAAAAUGAAACAUAUGUCUAAACGAAUACACACACAUUUCGCCGCUUCUCCACAUGCACAGUACACACAUGUAUACGCGACGAAUGCUGUGAAUGUCCCAUACGCGAUAUGUGCACAUACACAGAUGCUUCAGUCUCAAUCAACAUUUUCUAGCAGUCGGACGUAUCUUCUGAUUGUGACUCUAACAUCCUUUUACCAGAUGCAAGAUGGCGUCCGUUGUUUUUCAACAAUUCCAUCUACACCAUCUCUGAAAAACAAUCAUUCUCAUUUUCGAAAAAUCAUAAAACAUUCAUUUUUUGACGAAUCUCAUCGAAAAAAUGAUAGAGAAAAAAACCGAAAAUUGGGAAAAAAAAUAUUGUAAACUUUUGCAUGGAGAUGAUGCUGGGGGUUUCGAACUCGGUUUAGAAUGUAACUACGCUUUACUACCAAAUAUCCUAUGGCUAAUACGACAUCUAACAUUGAAAGCAACAACAACAUUCAAAGCGGUGCUCUUAAUCUACGUUUGCCGAGUCGUCAACCACGCCACCACCAGAUCCCCGAGAAUAUUUGCGACGAAAAUACGUUUUAACAUCUCUGUCGAAAACACUGUGCAUUCAUGAAUGCCGUGACGUACUUACGCACUCGCACAUCGAGUGAAAUCUGCCGGCGGAGAAAUAACAGCUAAUGAAUGAACGCAUUAACAUCACAGCAAAGAUCUUUCAUCGGCAGAAAGCAAAAAAAAAACUUUGUGUUUUACUUUGGAUUGAAAUAUUUACAUAUCUAUCGAUGCAGUACAUGCCUAAUAUCAAUGUUGAUGUCAUAGUUUGUAAUUGUGAAUUUGAACAAUAAACGCAAAGUUUUCAA